AGUGAACGCUGGCGGUAGGCCUAACACAUGCAAGUCGAACGGCAGCACAGGAGAGCUUGCUCUCUGGGUGGCGAGUGGCGGACGGGUGAGGAAUACAUCGGAAUCUACUUUUUCGUGGGGGAUAACGUAGGGAAACUUACGCUAAUACCGCAUACGACCUACGGGUGAAAGCAGGGGACCUUCGGGCCUUGCGCGGUUGAAUGAGCCCAUGUCGGAUUAGCUAGUUGGCGGGGUAAAGGCCCACCAAGGCGACGAUCCGUAGCUGGUCUGAGAGGAUGAUCAGCCACACUGGAACUGAGACACGGUCCAGACUCCUACGGGAGGCAGCAGUGGGGAAUAUUGGACAAUGGGCGCAAGCCUGAUCCAGCCAUACCGCGUGGGUGAAGGAGGCCUUCGGGUUGUAAAGCCCUUUUGUUGGGAAAGAAAUCCAGCUGGCUAAUACCCGGUUGGGAUGACGGUACCCAAAGAAUAAGCACCGGCUAACUUCGUGCCAGCCGCCGCAGUAA
rnacentral:rRNA from 1 species